rnacentral:rRNA from 1 species
UCGAGAAUCUUUCGCAAUGGGCGCAAGCCUGACGAAGCGACUCUGUGUGAGCGAUGAAGGCCUUUGGGUUGUAAAGCUCUUUCGGUUAGGAACAAGAGAGGCGAGUUAAUAACUUGCUAAUUUGAGCGUACUAGCUAAAGAAGCACCGGCUAACUCCGUGCCAGCAGCUGCGGUAAUACGGAGGGUGCAAGCAUUAAUCGGAUUUACUGGGCGUAAAGGGCGCGUAGGCGGAAUCGCAAGUCAGAUGUGAAAUUCUGGUACUCAAUACCAGAGCUGCAUCUGAAACUGCGAAUCUAGAGGGUAGGCGGAGAAAACGGAAUUCCACGUGUAGCGGUGAAAUGCGUAGAUAUGUGGAAGAACACCUGUGGCGUAAGCGGUUUUCUAGCUUAUUUACUGACGC